GAUGAACGCUAGCGGCAGGCCUAAUACAUGCAAGUCGAACGGUGUCUUCGGACAUAGUGGCGCACGGGUGCGUAACACGUAUGCAACCUACCUUACAUUGGGGGAUAGCCUUUCGAAAGGGAGAUUAAAACCGCAUAAGACAGUAGCUGGGCAUCCAGCAGCUGUUAAAGAUUUAUCGAUGCAAGCUGGGCAUGCGUCCAAUUAGCUAGUUGGUGAGGUAACGGCUCACCAAGGCAAUGAUUGGUAGGGGAACUGAGAGGUCAAUCCCCCACACUGGCACUGAGAUACGGGCCAGACUCCUACGGGAGGCAGCAGUAGGGAAUAUUAGACAAUGGGCGGAAGCCUGAUCCAGCCAUGCCGCGUGUGUGAAGAAGGCCUUUUGGUUGUAAAGCACUCUAAGCGAGGAGGAGGCUACUGGUAUUAAUACUACCGGACAGUGGACGUUACUCGCAGAAUAAGCACCGGCUAACUCUGUGCCAGCAGCCGCCGUAAGAC
rnacentral:rRNA from 1 species